CCCAGUUCAGGGAGGUAGUGACAAUAAAUACCUUACAGAGGUCUCGUUAACCGAGAUCUCUCAAACGGAAUGAGUACAACGUGAAUCCUUUAACGAGGAUCGACUGGAGGGCAAGCCUGGUGCCAGCAGCCGCGGUAAUUCCAGCUCCAGUAGCGUAUAUUAAAGCUGUUGCGGUUAAAAAGCUCGUAGUUGGAUAUCAGUGCGUGUCCGGUCCGGUAUGCCUGGCACUGUCGCUCUGCGGCAGCGCUGGGCUCCCAAAUAUCGGCUGGCCGCAUUCAAUCGUGCCGGAUCCGUCGACGGGCCGUUCUUCGGAGGGGCCUGUUGGCGACCGGCGACGUUACCUUGAACAAAUUAGAGUGCUCAAAGCAGGCUCUGAAUGCCUGUAUACAUAUUCAUGGAAUUGGAGAAUACGUCCCUGGCUCGAUUUGGUUGGUUUUGAGAGUCGAAGGGAAAUGAUUAAUAGGGACUGACGGAGGCAUUCGUAUUGCGACGCGAGGGGUGAAAUCCUGUGACCGUCGCACGACGAACUACUGCGAAAGCAUUUGCCGAGAAUGUUUUCAUUAGUCAAGAACGAAAGUUAGAGGUUCGAAGGCGAUCAGAUACCGCCCUAGUUCUAACCGUAAACGAUGUCGACCAGCAAUCCGCAACGGUCACUUUACGGACUGUGCGGGCAGCUUCCCCGGGGAAACCAGAGUUUUUGGACUCCGGGGGAAGUAUGGUUGCAAAGCUGAAACUUAAAGGAAUUGACGGAAGGGCACCACCAGGAGUGGAGCUUGCGGCUUAAUUUGACUCAACACGGGACAACUCACCAGGCCCGGACACCGUAAGGAUUGACAGACUGAUAGCUCUCUCUUGAUUCAGUGGGUGGUGGUGCAUGGCCGUUCUUAGUUGGUGGAGUGAUUUGUCUGGUUUAUUCCGAUAACGAACGAGACUCUGGCCUAUUAAACUUGACGCCGCCAGUCUUUUUGACUGCGGUGCGCUUCUUAGAGGGAUCAUCGGCGUCCCAGCCGAAGGAAAGGGAGCAAUAACAGGUCUGUGAUGCCCUUAGAUGUUCUGGGCUGCACGCGUGUUACACUGAAGUGGUCAGCGCGCCGUUCAACACCCCUCUCCGUGAGGAGCUUGGGCAAACGUUUGAACCCUUUUCGUGAUGGGAAUUGGGGGUUGCAAUUG
rnacentral:rRNA from 1 species